AUGAGGCAAAGCUUUUGCCUCCGUUUAAAAAAAACAAAGGAGUCGCUAGGCAGCAAUUAUACGAAGAAGUCAGAUUUUCGUACAGAAAUUCAUCGUCUAUGUGACAAAAUGUUGACUGUAGAAGAAUUCGAAAAAGGUUGGGCAGAAUUGGUUGGGAAAUACGGCCUUUCAAGCAACACGUUUUUAACUCAGGUUUAUGAGGUGAGGGAAAAAUGGGCAAAACCUUACUUCAGCGGCAAAUUCUGUGCUAAAAUGACUAGCACCCAACGGAGUGAGAGUGCAAACCACAUGCUUAAAAAUUAUGUACCGCCAGCAUGCCCGAUGAAUGUUUUUGUUAAGCAGUAUGGCAAGCUACAAUAUGACAGGGAACAUGAGGAAGAGUUUCAAGAGAAAAGAACAAGGCUGGUAAGUAAUUUAAUUUAG
rnacentral:rRNA from 1 species